rnacentral:rRNA from 1 species
UACGUAGGGUGCGAGCGUUGUCCGGAAUCAUUGGGCGUAAAGAGCUUGUAGGCGGUUUGUCGCGUCUGCUGUGAAAAUCCGGGGCUCAACCCCGGACUUGCAGUGGGUACGGGCAGACUAGAGUGUGGUAGGGGAGACUGGAAUUCCUGGUGUAGCGGUGAAAUGCGCAGAUAUCAGGAGGAACACCGAUGGCGAAGGCAGGUCUCUGGGCCACUACUGACGCUGAGAAGCGAAAGCAUGGGGAGCGAACAGG